rnacentral:rRNA from 1 species
UGGGGAAUAUUGCACAAUGGGCGAAAGCCUGAUGCAGCGACGCCGCGUGAGGGAUGACGGCCUUCGGGUUGUAAACCUCUUUCAGUAGGGACGAAGCGCAAGUGACGGUACCUGCAGAAGAAGCACCGGCUAACUACGUGCCAGCAGCCGCGGUAAUACGUAGGGUGCGAGCGUUGUCCGGAAUUACUGGGCGUAAAGAGCUCGUAGGCGGUUUGUCACGUCGUCUGUGAAAUCCUAGGGCUUAACCCUGGACGUGCAGGCGAUACGGGCUGACUUGGGUACUACAGGGGAGACUGGAAUGUCUGGUGUAGCGGUGGAAUGCACAGAUAUCAGGAAGAACACCGAUGGCGAAGGCAGGUCUCUGGGUAGUAACUGACGCUGAGGAGCGAAAGCAUGGGUAGCGAACAGG